rnacentral:lncRNA from 1 species
GUAAACUAGUAAUUAUGGUAAUAGGCUCUUUUUGCCGAAGGAUCGGGUUUAGAGUAAUUUAGAAAGUUGCAUGAACAUUGAUAACAGAUAAGAAUAGUAGAUAUAUGAGAGUUAUUAAGUGAAAUCUAAAUCCUAACAACAAACUCAUCUCAUAUUAUCAACAUCAUCCAUCCACUUUUGUGUUUAACCUCAAUUGAUCAAAUUGCAUUCAUGUUUAUUUUUCAACACUUUACAUUCAAAAACCUCAAAAUAUUGUUCUUAUAGUCUUGAUUGGUUAAGUGAAAGCACAACAGUUUAGUGUCGUGAGUCUGUUGGGAAACGAUACUUGGUCUUACCAUUUAUUAUUACUUGAUACGAUUUGGUACACUUGCCAGGGUGUAAACAAGUUUUUGGCGCUGUUGUCGUAGACUCAUGGUAUAACUAUUCUAUAUCUGUGAUUCUUAACUGAUUAGACUUUUUAUCUUUCUAUCUAAUUUCUAUCUCUCUAUCUCUCUAUCUUUCCA